GGUUGACCUCGGAUCAGGUAGGGAUACCCGCUGAACUUAAGCAUAUCAUAA
rnacentral:rRNA from 1 species